rfam:Gossypium arboreum cultivar AKA8401 contig_26800_1, whole genome shotgun sequence.
UAUUAAAAAUUUUAUCCAUUUCUACUGUUAAAAACUGGCGUGACAGCACGUAGUGUGUCACGUGUACCUCAUUUUGACAUAUAAAAACCAGUUUUAACAGAAAAAGUAAAUGAAAUUUUUAACA